rnacentral:tRNA from 1 species
GGCGAGAUGGCCGAGCGGUCUAAGGCGCUGGUUUUAGGCCGCAGUCUCUUCGUGGGCCUUAGUUCGAGUCCCACUCUCGUCA